ACGAAAUGAGAUUUCUCUUCAAAUCUAGAACAUGUCGAACCUAGCCAAGUGUUCUCAAUGUCCCAUCCUGAAACCGUAAUUUGACUUGACCAAUUCCAACAAUACGGUAACACUGGUUGUUUCCUAUCACAACUCCACCUUACUGAACAGCCUCAUAUAUUUGAAAUAAAUUCCUAUCGAAACACAUAUGGUGCGAACAUGCCGAAUCAAGAAUCCACUCUUCGUUAGGCCUAGAUUCCACAUCAGAUAUCACGGUCAACAUCACCUCUUCGCUAUCCAAACAAUUCUCAACUACAUUGAUUUCGUCUGAAUUCACAUGUUGCGUUCCAUGAUUUGUAGCUAAACCCUUUGCAUGCAACUCAUCGCAAUUCUUCCGAAUAUGAAAAGAGUUUUCCCAUCCCUUGAUGUAGCUCCAACUAGAUGCUUCAUCUUCUCCUUUGAGUGUAAAGCCUCAUAAACAUCUUCUACAGUCAAAGUGUCUCGACUAUAUAAGAUAGUAUCCCGAAACGAUGCAUAAGACCCAGGCAGCGAACACAACAGGAUCAAGACAGGAUCCUCUUCAUCAUACUUAACUUCCAACGUCUCCAAAUCUGCCACCAUUUCCUUGAACACGGCAACAUGGUCUUCCAAAGACUCUCCUUUCGCCAUGCGAUGGGAAUACAGCUUCUGCUUAAGAGCUAGUUUACUUGUAAGACUCUUGGUCAUACACAACUGCUCCAACCUUAACCACAUAGCAGCUGCAAUUUUCUCCUUCAAGACAUCCUGCAGAAUGUUGUUGGACAGAUGAAGAUGAAUCAAUGAUGUAGCCUUUCGAUCCUUCCGUUGUUUCUCCUCCAUUGUCCAUCCAGCUGGCAUCCCGUCAAAAUCCAGCAACGCAUCUUCCAAAUCCAACUGCGCCAAAACAACCCUCAUCUUUACUUGUCACAAAGAAAAUCUUGUACUGCGAUCUAAUUGCGGAAUAUCAAACUUCAACCCAGCCAUCUCCAAAAAAUCUCAAACAAUCCACAGGAAAUCAAUAGCCAAGCUCUGAUACUACUUGUUGGGCACGGAAACUCCAAAAACACGAGUUGAUUCCAACGAAUUAUAGAGAAUGAGAUUAUAAUGACAAUUAUGAAGUAAAUUAGAUUACAUGACGAAAAACAAGAUUUAAUUGUAAAAGAGGAACAAAGAAAAAUUAACGCAGAGGAAGAAAGUUUUUAUUGAACAAUAUGGAGAAUACAAGCCAAUCAGCUAAUUGCUGCCGAUAAUACUAUCUAGAGGAGCCUCUAAUUUAUGGUGCAUGGCCAAUACCCUAAAGGAAUCACAAAAGGCAUGAAAUUCUAUCAAAAUAAGGUUAAACGCGUAAAAUUGGAAAAAUUCGCCGACUUCCCAAAAACCGAAUCAU
rnacentral:lncRNA from 1 species